rnacentral:lncRNA from 1 species
AUAAUAUUUAGAAUUUCCAAUGCAUGUCCUAACUUCUUGGGUAGGAUCAAAUAAGUUUUAUUUUCAAUAGGAAAAAAAUCAGCAUACUUGUUCUAUGCAACCUUUAUGUCAAUUUCAGUUUAAUGACAAAGUUAUCUUUGGAAGAUAAAUGGAGAAUACAUCUACAAUGAACAAGAACAAACUUGAUUGCAUUAAUAUAAAUCAUCAAAUAACAUCAUCUAAUAUUAAUAGCCCUUUUAUCAUUUGUAUCAGAAACUGCACAUUGGUGAGCUUACUAUAGAACAAUAAGCAUAAACCAAAAUCUUAACAUGUUUACAAAUAAUGAUAGAGGACAGUAGAAUUAAAAAAAAACAGCAGAUUGCAUAUCAUACCUUCAAGGAGAGCUCGAAAUCAACCUCACCUUAUAGGACACUGCAAUAGUCUUGAAUAGGGUCGCGCAUUUCAAUUUUUUGUUGGUGUUUUCAAUUUUCAGUUCAGAUUACAACCAGUUUGGGUUCAAGAAUUCAACCCAAAGGGGUUGAAAAGUUAUUUCAGUUUGGUUUGGUUUCAAAGUCAGUGUGGUUUGGUUUCGAUUCGUAGUUUUUCGGGUCGGUUUGGGUUAUAAAGCGGUUUGGAUUUCUAAUUCAGGUCAGGUCACUGAUUUGUAUUGGAGCAAGUAUUGUCAAAAAUGAACUGAAAACAACAAAUGAUGAAAUAUUUGGUUUACUAAAACAACAAAUUCAAAAUAUUCAAUUAUAAAUUACAACGAUAAACAAUACCAAAGGAAACAACUUCAAACCUGAAAACUCUUUUUCUGGCUCGAUUUUGGAUACAUCUUGGAUGCCUUCUACUACUUUUGAAGGUCGUUAUGUUUUCCUUUGGGUUCAUAGUCUCCGGCAUUCCUUUCCCUCAUGAAGAAUUCUGUGGAAAAUACAUAACAAGAUUCGUAAAUAAAUCUUUUGGGGGGCAAACAAACGUUUAACAAUUAUCUUUUAUAAAAGGAUUUAAAACCACAAUACCAAGCUGACACAACUUCGCAUUGGCCAAAAAAAGAAACGAUAUUCAGAAUUAUGAACUAGCAAGUUUUCAAAAGUUCAUUUUAAAUCCAAAUGUUAAGAUUUAAAAAAUUCAGGUCGAUUCCAUUCCAUCAUCAGCUUUAAACACUUGG